rnacentral:rRNA from 1 species
UACGUAGGGGGCAAGCGUUGUCCGGAAUUACUGGGCGUAAAGAGCGCGCAGGCGGCUGGUCAAGUCCGAUGUGAAAGCUCCCGGCUUAACUGGGAAAUUGCAUCGGAAACUGAUCGGCUGGAAGGUGGGAGAGGGUAGCGGAAUUCCCGGUGUAGUGGUGAAAUGCGUAGAUAUCGGGAGGAACACCAGUGGCGAAGGCGGCUACCUGGCCCAUUCCUGACGGCUGAGGAGCGAAAGCGUGGGGAGCGAACAGG